UUUUGGGACUCUAGAUCGUAGUUGUAUUAAGUAUAAAUGGGUUGAUUAUCUUUUGGGACUCUAGAUCGUAGUUGUAUUAAGUAUAAAUGGGUUGAUUAUUUUUGACAGUCUAGUUUUUUUACCCUCUUGAAUUUUGAAUGUACCAGCUGAAGCUAAGUAGUCUUUCUCUGAAGAGCUGAGCUGAAGCUAAGUCAUCUUCCCUAAAAACAGAAGAGCUGAAGCUGGUGAUAACUACGAUUCUCUUCUCCCUAAUACAUAUUUCGUCAAGUAAGAGGAGAAUAAGAAGGAAUUGAUUACUAUGGGGUUGUUGGAAUGGAACAAACCAAGAGUUACAGCUAAAAUUCCAAAGUACAUGAAGAAAGUGCCAAAAAUCAUGAACCAUAGGCAUAUUCAGAAGCUGAGAUAUAAGAAAUUACUACUCAGAAGCAUUUGAAUGGGGCUGCAGCUGAGCCAAAUGGUCUCGGUGUUGCAGGGGGUUCUCUAAGAGUUAUUUGCCUUGAAGGAACUCUACAAUGGACAGUGUUUUGGACGGAUGAUUAUUGGUUCGAAGGGUUUGCAGACGCUGAAGCUUUUUCGCUGUUUUGGAGAUUAGGAUAAGAUUCUGGAAUUGAUUGCUGAACAAUCGGUGAACUUGUUGAAAUUCAUCUUGAGAGGCUUCAGAUCAGUGAUACUGGUCUUGACGCUUUUUUUAAAUGUUCCAUUCUUGAAAUCCUGCACCGUAGGAUUAUAAACCAUGACUAGUGUCGAGUGUGAAUUUUUUCUAACAUUUAAUUUUCUUUUGAGUAUGUGGGAAAAUGUAUGUGAUCAAAUUUGAAUAAUGGCCCCAGGUAAACUCAAUAUAUUGGAGCUAAUGAUA